rnacentral:rRNA from 1 species
AACAAACGCUGGCGGCCCGUUUUAAGCAUGCAAGUCGGACGGCAAGAGCUGUAGCAAUAUGGCUCCUAGAGUGGCGAACGGGUGAGUAACACGUAGGUGAUCUGCCCUUGGAUGGGGGAUAGUCCGUGGAAACACGGGGUAAUACCGCAUGAGGCCUUGUGGGUAGAGCCAUGAGGUGAAAGGUGCAAUUGCACCGUCUGGGGAUGAGCCUGCGGUCCAUUAGGUAGUUGGCGGGGUAAGGGCCCACCAAGCCUGCGAUGGAUAGCCGGCCUGAGAGGGUGUACGGCCACACUGGAACUGGGACACGGUCCAGACUCCUACGGGAGGCAGCAGCUAAGAAUCUUCCGCAAUGGGGGAAACCCUGACGGAGCGACGCCGCGUGGACGAUGGAGGCCGUGAGGUUGUAAAGUCCUUUUCCUGGUGAAGAAUGACCGUGGGAGUGGAAAGCCCAUGGGAUGACGUUAGCCAGGGAAUAAGCCCCGGCCAAUUACGUGCCAGCCGCCGCAGUAACAC